UCCUGCUUUACUCUGUUUUAUAUUCCUUAUGGGUGCCGUAUCUAUGUUAUGUCAUCUGCUUCUGUGCUGUACUAUGUGUUUGUGUGGUAUCUCGUGACUUGAGCCGGGGGUCUUUCGGAAACAGCCUUUCUACUUCAUCAGAGGUAGAGGUAUGGACUGCGUACAUCUUACCCCCCCAGACCCCACUAAGUGGAAAUACACUGGGUUUGUUGU
rnacentral:lncRNA from 1 species